GAUGAACGCUGGCGGCGUGCCUAAUACAUGCAAGUCGAGCGAACAGACGAGGAGCUUGCUCCUUUGACGUUAGCGGCGGACGGGUGAGUAACACGUGGGUAACCUACCUAUAAGACUGGGAUAACUUCGGGAAACCGGAGCUAAUACCGGAUAAUAUUUCGAACUGCAUGGUUCGAUAGUGAAAGAUGGCUUUGCUAUCACUUAUAGAUGGACCUGCGCCGUAUUAGCUAGUUGGUAAGGUAACGGCUUACCAAGGCAACGAUACGUAGCCGACCUGAGAGGUGAUCGGCCACACUGGAACUGAGACACGGUCCAGACUCCUACGGGAGGCAGCAGUAGGGAAUCUUCCGCAAUGGGCGAAAGCCUGACGGAGCAACGCCGCGUGAGUGAUGAAGGUCUUCGGAUCGU
rnacentral:rRNA from 1 species